UACGAAGGGUGCAAGCGUUGCUCGGAAUCAUUGGGCGUAAAGCGCACGUAGGCGGCCUCGCAAGUCGGAUGUGAAAUACCUAGGCUCAACCAAGGACGUGCAUCCGAAACUGCAAGGCUUGAGUACAGAAGAGGAUCGCGGAAUUCCCGGUGUAGAGGUGAAAUUCGUAGAUAUCGGGAGGAACACCAGUGGCGAAGGCGACGAUCUGGGCUGAUACUGACGCUGAGGUGCGAAAGCGUGGGGAGCAAACAGG
rnacentral:rRNA from 1 species